rnacentral:rRNA from 1 species
AACCUGCCUUUGUGUGGGGGAUAGCCGGGCUAACGCCCGGGUAAUACCGCAUACGGUCACCGGGAGGAGUCUCCUGGUGAAGAAACCUCCGGGGCACGAAGAGGGGCUCGCGGCCUAUCAGCUAGUUGGCGGGGUAAUGGCCCACCAAGGCGACGACGGGUAGCUGGUCUGAGAGGAUGGCCAGCCACAUUGGGACUGAGAGACGGCCCAGACUCCUACGGGAGGCAGCAGUGGGGAAUCUUGCGCAAUGGCCGAAAGGCUGACGCAGCGACGCCGCGUGUGGGAGGACGCCUUUCGGGGUGUAAACCACUGUUGCCCGGGACGAACAUCCCUUUUCGAGGGGACUGACGGUACCGGGUGAGGAAGCACCGGCUAACUCCGUGCCAGCAGCCGCGGUAAUACGGAGGGUGCGAGCGUUGUCCGGAAUCAUUGGGCGUAAAGGGCGCGUAGGUGGCGGGACAAGCGUGCGGUGAAAGCCUGGGGCUCAACCCCGGGUCGGCCGUGCGAACUGUUUUGCUUGAGCACUGUAGAGGCAGGCGGAAUUCCGGGUGUAGCGGUGGAAUGCGUAGAGAUCCGGAAGAACACCGGUGGCGAAGGCGGCCUGCUGGGCAGUAGCUGACACUGAGGCGCGACAGCGUGGGGAGCAAACAGGAUUAGAUACCCUGGUAGUCCACGCCGUAAACGAUGGGCACUAGGCGCUUGGGGGAGCGACCCCCCGAGGGCCGGCGCUAACGCAUUAAGUGCCCCGCCUGGGGAGUACGGCCGCAAGGCUGAAACUC